AAUCAACGCUGGCGGCGUGCCUAACACAUGCAAGUCGAACGCGAAAGCCCCUUCGGGGGUAAGUAGAGUGGCGUCCGGGUGAGUAACACGUGGGUAAUCUGCCUUCGGGUGGGGAAUAACCCAGGGAAACUUGGGCUAAUACCGCAUAAUGCAGCGGCACCUAAUGGUGAUUAGUUGUUAAAGCGGGGAUCGCAAGACCUCGCGCCUGAAGAGGAGCCUGCGGCAGAUUAGCUAGNGGUGAGGUAAUGGCUCACCAAGGCUUCGAUCUGUAGCUGGUCUGAGAGGACGGCCAGCCACACUGGCACUGACACACGGGCCAGACUCCUACGGGAGGCAGCAGUGGGGAAUUUUGGGCAAUGGGCGAAAGCCUGACCCAGCAACGCCGCGUGAGGGAGGAAA
rnacentral:rRNA from 1 species